UAUUGCCGGGAUCGCCCUCCAUCAGCGCGUUGCGCCCAUGGGGGCGCUUGGC
rfam:Donghicola sp. KarMa genome assembly, contig: KarMA_contig65